GCUAACUCCGUGCCAGCAGCCGCGGUAAUACGGAGGGUGCAAGCGUUGUCCGGAAUCAUUGGGUGUAAAGGGUGCGUAGGCGGGUCUGUAAGUCUGGGGUGAAAUCUUGCCGCUUAACGGUAAAAUGGCCCUGGAUACUGCAGGUCUUGAAUCUAGUAGAGGUUGGUGGAAUUCGUGGUGUAGCGGUGAAAUGCAUAGAUAUCACGAAGAACAUCGGUGGCGAAGGCGGCCAACUGGGCUAGUAUUGACGCUGAGGCACGAGAGCGUGGGGAGCGAACAGGAUUAGAUACCCCAGUAGUC
rnacentral:rRNA from 1 species